rnacentral:rRNA from 1 species
GACGAACGCUGGCGGCGUGCCUAAUACAUGCAAGUCGAGCGAAGUUUUUCUGGUGCUUGCACCGGAAAAACUUAGCGGCGAACGGGUGAGUAACACGUAAAGAACCUGCCUCAUAGACUGGGACAACUAUUGGAAACGAUAGCUAAUACCGGAUAACAGCAUUAACUGCAUGGUUGAUGUUUAAAAGUUGGUUUUGCUAACACUAUGAGAUGGCUUUGCGGUGCAUUAGCUAGUUGGUGGGGUAAAGGCCUACCAAGGCGACGAUGCAUAGCCGACCUGAGAGGGUGAUCGGCCACACUGGGACUGAGACACGGCCCAGACUCCUACGGGAGGCAGCAGUAGGGAAUCUUCCGCAAUGGGCGAAAGCCUGACGGAGCAACGCCGCGUGAGUGAAGAAGGAUUUCGGUUCGUAAAGCUCUGUUGUUAGGGAAGAAUGAUUGUGUAGUAACUAUACACAG